CGGGGGAUGCCUCCCCGUGCUGCGAUGGGGGUCCUAAAAGCCAGGGGGUGAAAAGGGGCUGGCUCUCAGUCCCCACCUCGCGAGGGGUGCCUCUCCCCCCUGCGAUAGGUGUCCUAAUAGCCAGGGGGGGAAGAGGGGCUGGCUCUCAGUCCCUGCCUCGCGGGUGGUCCUUCACCCCGCUGCGAUGGGGGUCCUAAGAGCAAGGGGGGGAAGUGGGGCUGGCUCUCUGUCCCCGCCUCGCCGGGGGUGCCUCGCACCCUUGCGAUGGGGGUCCUAAGAGCCAGUAGGGGAAGAGGAGCUGGCUCUCAGUCACCACAGCAUGGGGGGCCUUUCUGUUCUGGUUUUGCCCAAGAGUAAGCUUAUUUGCAUCUGGUUCUAGCAAGGGAAUUGCUGCGAAGGCCCUCAAACAGGGGGGCCAUCCUUUCGAAUCCCUAUCUAGUUGUUUAGAGAUGUAGGCCACCGGCCUCAGCCAAGGCCCCACAGUUUGGGUUAAAAGUCCAGCUGCCAUCUUUUCUCUCUGACGCAUACAAUGGAAAAGGCUUUGUGAGAUCGGGUAGCCCCUCGGCUGGGGCUUUCAGAAGUUUUUCCUUUAAGUCAUGAAAGACUUGCUGUUGUUGGAAUCCCCAUUCCAAAAGUUCCCGGUCCCCGCCCCCAUUGUGACCUCAUACAAAGGCUUGGCUAAUACUGCAAAGUUUGGGAUUCCCAGUCUACAAAACCCCACAGCUCCUAGGAAUUCUCUCACCACCCUUGUGCCUUUAGGCUUCGGUAGAUUGCAAAUGACCUGCUUUCUUUCGGAUCCCGGGCUGCUUUCGGACACCUGUCGAAUAGUAAAUCCCAAGUAAGGUACCUGCGGUCGUCGGCAGAUCUGAAUUUUCUUCUUGGACACCUAAUACCCACAGUCCUCCAGAGACCGAGAGGUUGAUGUCACUCCCAAUAUCGGAGGAAGUAUACACCCCCGUGUGAGAUGGUCCUUAAUAAUAUUCCACGGCGGAGGGGGUGAUAUGACUACAUACAUGGCAGAAAGUGGAAACCUCCCAGGGAUAUUGUUCCCACGAUCCUGGAGGGAAGAAGAUGAUGUUACUUUCAAUAUGACAGAAGGUGGAUGAAGUGGUGGACUGCCCCUCCACACCUGUGGACACGCCCCCACUGAUAUUCCUUCUAAUUGCAGCGUGGGAGAGGAGGAUAUGACACGCGAUAUCGCAGGGAGUAGAAACACCCCUGUGAUACUGUUCUUAAUAUUCAGGGAGGAAGAGGAUGAUAUUACUCCCAAUACAGACGGGUGUACACCCUCUGUACACCGAGGGUGUACACCUGUCUGUGAAAGAGUUCGUAAUCUCCAGAGGGGGAGAUGAUAUUACUCACAAUAUGGUAAAGAGGCUGUGAGUCCACGGAGGAUCCUCAGAGCCAGCGGGGGAAGAGGGGCUGGCUCUCAGUCCCCGCCUCGCGGGGGUGACUCCCCCCAGUGCGAUGGGGGUCCUAAGAGCCAGUGGGGGAAGAGGGGCUGGCUCUGAGACCCCGCCUCGCGGGGGGUGCCUCCCCGCCCUGUGAUGGGGGUCCGAAGAGCCAGAAGGCUUAGAGGGGCUGGCUCUCAGUCCCCGCCUCGCGGGGGGUGCCUCCUCCCCCUGCGAUGGGGGUCGUAAGAGCCACUGGGGGAAUAGGGGCUUGCUCUCAGUCACCGCCUCGCGGGGGGUGCCUCCUUUCCUUUCUACAUAGACACAGUGACAGUCUGAUCUCUCUUUCUUUUCCCUACAGAUGGACACGCCCCCACUGAUAUUGUUUUUAAUGCAGCGUGGGAGGGGAGGAUAUGACACGCGAUAUCGCAGCUGAGUGCCACGUGCUGACGUCACUAAGAUCAAUACAGCAAACUCUGAAAGAUGGACAGAGAGACAGGAGAUGGUCCUUUAUAAUGCAGUGUGAUCUGUGCUGCAAUAGAGAUGGAAGAGUGUUCUGAUCGGCUGGAAAACAACGCACAUGGGAAGCUGUACAGAAAUGAGUGGGGAAAGUUUUGGAAGCUAGAAGUUCAAAACGAGGUGUUGGCAGCACCAUGCUCUCUCUGAAGAUGCUAGGAAGAAUCUGCUCCAUGCCUUUCCAUUCGCUUCUGGGGUUUCCUGCAAGCCCUGACAUUCCUUGGCUUGUAGAUGCAUCACCCCAGUUUCCGCCCCCAUCAUCACAUGGCCUCCUCUCUGUGUGUGCCUCUGCGUUCCCUCUAUUCUUCUUCUAAGGACACCGACACCAGUCAUAGUGGAUUAAGUGUCCACUCCUAACCAAUUACAUCUGCAACAACCCUAUUUCCAAAUAAAGUCACAUUCUAAGAUUCCUAGGGAGAACAUGAAUUUUUGGGGGUGUGUGGAUACUGUUCAACCUGGGACAUGGAGUAAAUAAAUGGCAAG
rnacentral:lncRNA from 1 species